AUGUCAUGUGUAGUAUUGAGUAUAAAAACUAGAACCGCAACCGAUUCCCAAUAGCUAAAGUUAUGUUUCCUUGUUAGAAGAUACAAAGCCAAAGACUCAUACGGACUUCGGCUACACCAUCAAAAUUUUGAGAAGCAAUAAGAAGCUUGGUUAGUAUUUUAGAGUCAAAUAUUACAGGAUAUCAUGUGUAUCAUUGAGUAUAAGAACUAGAACCGCAACCGAUUCCCAAAAGCUAAAGUAAUGUUUCUUGUUUGUAGAUACAAAGCCAAAGACUCAUACCGACUUCGGCUACACCAUCAAAGCUUUGUGAGGCAAUAAGAAGCUUGGUUAGUUUUUCGGAAUCAAAUAUGGCUAGAUGUCAUGUGUAUGAUUGAGUAUAAGAACUAGAACCGCAACUAAUUCCCAAAAGCUAAAUUAAUGUUUCCUUGUUAGAAGAUACAAAGCUAAAAACUCAUACGGACUUUGGCUAAGCCAUUAAUGUUUUGAGAAGCAAUAAGAAGCUUGGUUAUUUUUUUGGAGUCAAAUAUGACUAGAUGUCAUGUGUAUGAUUGAGUAUAAGAACUAGAACCGCAACCGUUUCCCAAAAGCUAAAGUAGUGUUUCCUUGUUAGAAGUUACAAAGCCAAAGAAUCAUAUGGAAUUCAGCUACACCAUCAAAGCUUUGAGAAGCAAUAAGAAGCUUUGUUAGUUUUUCGGAGUCAAAUAUGACAAGAUGUUAUGUGUUUGAUUGAGUAUAAGAACUAGAACCGCAACAUCUUCCCAAAAGCUAAAGUUGUGUUUCCCUUCUAGAAGAUACAAAGCCAAAAACUCAUACGGACUUUGGCUACACCAUCAAAGCUUUAAGAAGCAACAAGAAGUUUGGUUAGUGUUUUGGAGUCAAAAAAGACUAUAUGUCAUGUGUAGUAUUGAGUAUAAAAACUAGAACCGCAACUGGUUCCCAAAAGCAAAAGUUAUGUUUCCUUGUUAGAAGAUACAAAGCCAAAGACUCAUACGGACUUCGGCUACACCAUGAAAAUUUUGAGAAGCAAUAAGAAGCUUGGUUAGUGUUUUGGAGUCAAAUAUGACUAGAUGUCAUGUGUAUGAUUGAGUAUAAGAACUAGAAUGGCAACCGAUUCCCAAUAGCUAAAGUUAUGUUUCCUUGUUUGAAGAUACAAAGCUAAAGACUCAUACGGACUUCGUGUACACCAUCAAAAUUUUGAGAAGCAAUAAGAAGCCU
rnacentral:sRNA from 1 species